AUGGCACCAGUUCUUCCCUUCCUCAUCCCUCCUCCUGCCCUGCUCCUUAAUAAUGUCUUCCUCCAUCCGAUCUUCACACCCCUCUUCUCGGCCUCCGAUAGGUUCAUCCUCUCCAACCUUCCUUCUACGCCCUCCAUCCUUCCUCAGAUGCCCACCACCGGACAGACGAUAGGUUCUAGAGUUUGGACUUUCACAAGCUCGACCAUAGUUUACAUCAGCAAUCAUAACGUGACUGCAAUUGUAACUAAUUGGGAUGCCGAGGGUACAACUUGCAAUUUUGUUGAUCUGCCGGAUACUUACCAAGGCGUUCAGUAUUGCAAUGUGUUGAGCCGAGUUACCACAGGAGCACUUGAAAUGGAUGACGCUUACGAGAUGCGGGUGAAGCUUACCAAGAAGGUCCCUGAGGAGUACCCGUACAAGGAUGACGACUAG
rnacentral:rRNA from 1 species